GGGUUAGUCUGUGGUUGGCCGAAGUAAGGGCGCUGAACGCCUGGCGCAAGGGAGCGGGGUCUUAUCGAAGAGGAGGCAGCGUUGACGCGCGUUGCGGGAACUGCGCGUGGGGUCGCCGCUCGGAGCCCGGCUUAGUUUGUGUCAGCCAGGCAACUUCCAGGGGAACAGUUGACCUGAUAUGGCUUUGAUUAACUUACAGAGUUUCCGGUUUUAUUCUUCUACUGUACGCACAUGCAGAUCCCUGGGAACACUAAGAAAAACCUUGAACCACCUUAGUUAUCAAGGCAGACAGCUAAGGUCAUGGUGCUGUGGUUCCUCGGUCUUUGGCACAGUACUUUCAAGGGUUAGGUUUCAGUGUGUGUUUUGUAGAAACUACCAUGCAGAACUCUGGAACCAGCCUAACUCCAUUACAGGAACUGUGCAUCUUUACAGAGAUGCUGGGAACAGUUCUAAAUCUGAUGGCAAAUGGAUGGAUGAACAAAAAUUUUUCAUGGAGCUGAACAGCUUCAAUUCAUCCAACGAGAUUUUUAAAUUUCUGAGUUCUUUAGAAGUUAUAUCUGACACCAUGGCAGCAGCAGCUUUACAGAGGAUCUGUGAAUUUGAAGUGGAUGACAGUGGAUUGAAGAAUCCUGAAGACAUAUUGGAGAAUGAAGUCUUCAAGGCAUUAUGCUUUCAGUUUGAACAUGAAUCGCAAAAGCUGUCAGACACUGGUCUUGUGACUGCAUUGCAGGUUUUGAUAAAGUUGCGUGUAGAUCCCUGGAGUACUUUGAUUGUGCGUUUGGUAUCGGAGAGCCUUGAACGGCUUGAUAAGGGACAAUUAACCAUUAGAAACCUGUGUAUUCUUGGAGAAAGCUUGCUUGAUUUGGAAGGCCCAGGUUGUACAAUGCUGGAACAAAUUGUGAACCAAGUACAAGGAAAAAAGCUUGAAGAAUGGCCCACUGAGGAAAUAGCAAUGGUUUAUGGAAUGCUGCAGAUGAGUAUUACAGAAGAAGGACAAUACCAAGACUUGUUAAACCACAUGAACAACAUCACUUUAGCCUUAGCUCCCCAACUAAGCCCUAAACUGAUAAGCAGAAUACUGAAUGCACUGGUUAUUCUUGACCAAACUCAGGCAAUCCCUUUAGUAAUAAGACUAUGUAAGUAUUCAGUGAGGCAUGUCCCUCGAUUCACAGAUGAUGAACUAGUAAAUGUGCUGGGAGCUUUCAUACAUUUUGGACACGCUGACCAAUUCUUCACAGAUGCACUGGAAAGGCUUGUUCCCAAAUCCUCCUUCACCAUGCACCCGGAAGCAGUCAGCAAAGUCAUGCAAUACUGCUGCAGAAAGCUGAUCCGUUCUAAGCCCAUCUUUGAUGCAGUGGCAGAAAGUUUUGCUUAUAAUGCCGACAAAUGCACCACCAGACAGAUUGCUGAGUAUAUUGUUCCAUUUGGGACACUCAAUUACCUACCACCAAGUGCUCCCUCUGUCUUCAGAAAACUUGAAAGGAUACUAAAUGCUCGCUUUACUCAGUUUCAGCCUCACACCCUGCUGAAUCUGCUCCACUCAUGCACCCUUAUUGAGCGUUAUCCAGUAAACUUUCUGGCAAAAAUAUUUAACCCCUAUUUUCUUCAACAGCUGCAGGCUCAAACACCAGGUUUGGACAGAUUUGUCCUCUCCCAGCUGACCCAGCUCUUUUUAACAGUUACCUUGGAGUGUCCCUUCUAUGAGGGUCCUAAACUCCUUCCAAAGUAUCGAGUAAAGUCCUUUCUCGUACCAGGCCGUUCACUGGAGUCCUCUGUGGACGUUCACCUCUACAACAGGGUAAAGACUGGACUAGUUGAUUUGCUUGGAAAAAGAAUGUAUUUUGCUUCUCGUGUGUUGACACCAUAUUGCUAUACAUUAGGUGAGUGGUGAUGUCAUUUUUUAAGGUAGAGGUGACUGGACCUAUUGAGGUCCCUUCCAGACCUACACUUCUCUGAUUCUAUGAUUAUUGUCACAGUAUCUGGAGUGGCUCAAGACUGAGAGUGCCAAUUUCAGGGCAGACUGUCAAAAAGCAGGGCAGACACCCCAAACUGGUGGUGUGAUCUAUAAUUAGAUGUCAUCAAUCCAAUAACAAAUGUGAAUUCCCAAAGUACAACCAUAGUUUGCUAAUGGAGUCACAGACAGUCCCCUUAGACAUUCCAGUCUAUCUUGCCACCCAGGCAAGCUGGACUAUGUGACAAAUGGUCACUUACAACAAAAAUCUCAAAAUACUCAGGUUGCUUCCAGUCCCAAGAGACCAGUCACUUACCCCAGAUCAGUUUGUUCCUUAGAUCUCACACCAAAACAAUGUUGGUAGCCAAUCCUAUAAUUAACUAACUAAAGGUUUAUUAACUAGGAAAAAGAAAUCAGAGUUAUAUACAGGUUAAAACAAGAAAGCAUAUACACAAGUGAAUCUCACUCUCUGAUUCAAAAGGUGAUAGAGUUAUAAUAAUUGGUCAAUUCAAAGCAUCUUUUGGGGCUAACCCCUACCAAGUAGCACGGGGAUCUCUUUGCUUAUGUUUAGGAAUAUCUGCCCCUCAGUCUAAACAGCAUGAAAGAGAGAUUCAGUUUCUCAUUGUCAGGGAUUUUUAUCCCCUCCACUCCAGAGUUCAAACUGAUGGGAUGAGUUCAUGCAUAGGUCUCUCCUUCCUGGAGGAAAUUAGGAAUGCAGUCAGUAAUGCUUUGAUGCUACACAAUGCUUAAUUUGCCUUCAAUGGCCAUGGACAAGCACUUUACCUUAAUCAGUGCUGUGUGUCCUAUUGGCGAGUUACAAAAUUAUAGAGGUUUACAAUGCAAACACUCAGUAUAACUUUAUACCAUGGGCUAUAAAGGUUAUAAGUGAGAUCAGUACAUGCGACAUAUUACAAGCAUUUUAUAAAGUCUAAGCACAUUCUUAUCAGCUUACCAUCUAAUUUCUAUUUUGAUAAUGCUAACACACAGGAAAGCAAGAUUGGUUUCUAGCUAUGCAUUUUUAAGUGUUCAGUGGGGCCUGGGGCCUUGGCAUGAGCUGGCACUUGGCCUACCAGUGUCACAAGUAAUAUUAUAGUAGCGGAACUUUGCAUCUUGUUGUCACAGUUUAGAGCAACUGCACCUGUAUUCCCUCUCCAUGGUCCACCAAAGGUACCCAUUCUAGUCUCCCAGCUCCUCAGCCAUCACCUCUUUGGAGUAGAGAUCCAUGUCUCCUUCUCUCCUGUCUAGGAUUUUUCCAGGCUGCACAUUUCUCUGCCUACACUGAUAUUCACAGCAAGCCAGACUGCCUAAACAGGCCAGCAGCUGCACUUUGCUUUCUCUUUGAAGGCUGUGAACAAGUGUGAUAGCCAGCAAUUAUAGUUACCUCCCAGCUCUUUCUAUGCAAAACAGAAAAUGUGCAGUUUAAUAUAUUCUUAUUUGUUAAAUGUAUAUUGUGAUCUCUCAGACCAAAAAAUCAGACAAAAUUAACGCUAUAAAUCUUUUUAAAAAGCAGUAUUUAUCAAAAUGUCAUAGUUUGAAAUUCAAAGUUCUUAACUGACUCAUGGCACAGUGCAGAAAGAGAAAACACUGAAAAAUAGAGAUUUUUUGUUCUGUUUUAAAAAAAAAAAAAUUUAGUUUUGUUCGGUGAUUGAAUGAAGUAGUCCCAUCCACUGGUGAUGGAAUACUUGAACACAGACAUUUCACUCCUGCCAGUCCCUGUCCUGCCCCCAAACCCACCUCUGCUGCUCCAAAAUAUUUCCUAUAGCCUGCAUACAAAUAUGAACAGGUAUAUCAGCUUUUUUUAUCAGGAACAUUCACUUUUUUUUUUUUUUUUUUAAAUAUAUCUCAUCUCUACCACUGGGCAUGCGAAGCCCCUUUCUCAAUCCCGCCCUCCCUCCGCCCCUCUCCUUUUGUCAACCUGCGAGUCUUAAAGUAUGUAUGGGCAUGUUUAAAU